CGGAUCAUAUAACUGGUGAGUAUGGAAUCUUUUUCUGUUUUUUAUUUUAUAUAUUUUUUCAGUUUGGAGUUUGUGGAAUAGAUAGGUUUUUACUUUAUGAAUCUGGAACGAAUGGAUUGCUACCGGCGGCAUUCCUGAACGCAAUUGGGUCCAACACGGAAGCUAAACUAGUUCAUAUGCAUCCGGACAACGUUGCCCAGAAGCAGGCACAACAAGCAAUGAAUUUCGAUACGGAACAACUGAGCAGAUGCAUAUCAGUGAAAGUUUAUUCCGUUCUGAGACAUUUCUACCAACGAAGUAAGGACACGAACGGUAUUGAAUUGAAUGAUGCUAAGCCAGAUCAACAGUGUGGGGAGACUGACGGUGUAGAUUCGCCACAGGUGGAAAUUAAUCACAAACGCAAGAUGUGACAUUAUCAGAUCUCCCAAAGUGGUUUCUUACCAGCUAUGAAUACACCCGUUCGGAUGAUGUGGCUUUUUUGCUUCCAUCAACUGUCAACAGCAUCGGCUUUCCCGUAGCAGUAUCCUCCAAGCCAUGGUGGCUGUUCCAGGGGACAACAUCAACAGCAGCAGCAUCUGGACCUGACCAUCGAUAGUGUUUCGAGCAACUUUCCAUAUCGGAGAUCUCGUGCUUCGCGCACAUUGAAGAAACCUCCUCAGCCACAUGUGUGUCAAGGAGAAAAAGGAGCUGGAUUCGAAUCGUCAAUCCAGACAACCCGAAUGCACCGAUUGCAUUAUAUAUCUUGUUUAUAUUUUAUAUGCAUUUUGUGUUUUUUUGAAUAAAAUGAUUAAAAUCGAUCAAUGUUUUUCCUUUUCAUGUUUCAUAACAAACCAAUACAAACAAGAGACGAUCAGUGUUGGAAGCAGCGUUACAUGCAGGUCGACGCCUUGCACAUGUUGGCAAAAAAGUGGCGUCAAGUUGUUCGAUGAAUGCAUAUGAAAGGUCGAUAACUCGAUUGCAAGGUGGCAGCAUUUGAGGUCGAUUGUUGACAUUUCAUCGACCCGAUCUUGGCAGGCAAAACGGAAUGUGGGCUUGAUGAGUGAGGGUUUGAAAGAACAUAUGAGAUUGAUUCGGUCGAGGCUGCGAUUAAAUCUGCACGAGCAAUGUUUAGAUGUAGA